GGUAUGAAUUUUAACCCCACGAUAAGCCCCGGAACUUAUUGUGAUGAUAAUAAAAAUU
rfam:Bacillus coahuilensis p1.1.43 ABFP000047, whole genome shotgun sequence.